AUGGUGCAAAAUACGCGCCAGCAAAAAUAGAAGACUAACCGACGUUUAAGAGACGUCGGUUAUUUUUUUG
rnacentral:sRNA from 1 species